GCAAAAGGAGGGGCCAGAUAAACCGUGUCACCCCUCGACGACAUAGAGGGUCAUCUUUUUGCAAAACCAAGUGAAGAAACAAAGCCAUUUCGUAUUCAGAUGACAACCGUCAUCAAGUGACCAUAAUUGGUGUCCGGCCCCUUGCAUCGUAAGUCUAUGUUGUCUUAUAUUUCCUCGGGAUUUUGUUGCUUGUAGUUCUAAACUCGACACGUGGAGCUUUUGCGUGCUCACAUGCUCACGUGGGAAUGGGAAGGACCAUAAAUGGACGUCUUUCUGUAGCA
rnacentral:lncRNA from 1 species